rnacentral:lncRNA from 1 species
GGAGGCGGCGUUCAGAAAUAGGGCGCUGGCUUUGCCAGGAGCGGCUCCUCUCCAAGCCUGGCGGUCACUGCCCUGUGUCCCCUUUUGGGCCUCUCCUGGUCCUCCUGGUUGGAUUAGGAGGCCUCUCAGCCCGGAGUCUGGGUCGCCGAAGUACAGGCCCCUUCACUGAAGCGACCCACGGCGCAGGGGUUUCUGGAAGCCAUCGCCAGGCUCCGAGUGUUCAGAUGCAGCUGCCAGGCUCAGGACGCAGAGAACUGGCUUCCAGCUCGCAGGAGCGCCUGUCCGUGGUGGGUAGGGUCGCAGGCGUGGGGUGUGCAGGAGCAGUGGGACAGCACUGAAACGCAGUCGGAAGAGAUACCACGGUGUGCAGGCACAGGGAAAAGACCACGUGAGGACACAGAGAGAAGACGGCCGUCUGCAAGCCAAGGAGAGAGGCCUCAGGUGAAACCAAACCUGCAGGCACCUUGAUCUUGGACUUCCAGCCUCCAGAAGCUUGAGAAAAGAAAUUUCUGUUGUUUAAGACACCCAUUCUGUGGUAUUUGUUCUGGCAGCCCUAACAAACUAAUAUAGGGAUCUAAAGAUUCCUUGUCUUCAUUUUGAGUAAGAGACUAUAAACUCAGAACUGUGGAGAUCUAGUUAGGUAUUGUACAGCUAGCCUCAUUCUGUCUUAAACUCCAGGUAAAAGAGAAAAAUAUGGAGACAGCCCCUGACUUUGGAGAACUUGCAGUUUUGUGGAGGUGAAAGGAGGCAGCCACAAGAAAAACCCCUGACAUCAAUUCAAAACUAUAAAUAACAAAGACUAACUUGUUCUAUGCACAACAGGUACUACAGCACUGUCCAACAUGGGGACAUGUGAGUGGCCUGAAGCAGCACAAGAACUGGGCAAUAAACUUGAGAUGAACCUCAAAGCAUCAAUAUUAUUCAUGACUAAACUGGGUUCUAAGAAUUUCUAUUUUUACUCUCAGUGUUCAGUAGAGGUCAUUAAAAAAAAAUCUAGCAAUUUUUUUUUCUAAAAUGAAUAUGUAAUAAGAAUGAAAAACAAAAAGCACUAUAAUGUUUUUAAUUAAUGAAAUGCCUUUACGAACCAAGGUGCCAUCUUGGAGAAGCUAGGCAUUAUGAGGAGCUAUCAGGAGCACAUUUGCUAACAGCUUGGCAUGAGCAGGAUUUUCUUGACCAACUGGCAAGAUGGGGCUGCUCAGCUCCUGCUGGCAGAUUUUUAUGGAGCAUAGUUUUACAAAUUCAGCCUACAACUCUGAUACGUUCCAAUGUAUUUUAAACAUCUAUUCAGUUGCAACUCUAAUCCCAGGAACCUGUGGCUAACAGAAGGCAGAUUUAACUGACUAGCAGCUGUGGGAUUUUCAAAGUCUAAACUGAAAUGAACAUGCGAAACAGUUGGACUACCCCAAAAGCUGAAUUACAAUUCCAGCACUCACCAGCUCUGAAACCUCACUUGGUUACCUAACGCCUCUGUGCCUCAGUUCCCCAGCUAUAAAAUGGAAAAGGCAACAAUACCAACCUUGUAGAUUAUGUUUUGGAUUAAAUGAGGCAACACAUACACAGCACUUAGAACGUGCAAGGCACAAUGGAAGCAUGCAGUGAACAUGACUUGUAAUGAUGCUGACUGUCAUAACUCUCAUCCAUAGGGAUGCUGCCUCUGCUUGUCACCCUUGACCUAUAUAUUUUCAGGCAGUCCUCACCCAGUCCCCAUUUGUGUGUUCUAGAUAGAAAAGGCCCCAUACUAUGAAAUGACUACUGUCCUUCUGCAUGAAGCCUGGUGAACCUGAUAAUGUAGCCUUCAAGUUCCCUUACUGAGCCUUGAGCUCCCUUCAAAGUAUCCAAGCCAACCCUGUCUUGGGAAACUCACCUAGAUAAUGCCCUGAACCCCAAUAAAGGCUCCAGCCCACAGGUCCCUCCCUCUCUCUUGGUCCCCACCCUUUGGCUGGGCAUGUGUGUCCUCAAUGUCUCCAAGCCCUUCCAGUAAGCCCUGCAAGGUGUGCUGGCCACUGUUCUCUGGAAUCUGUGAGUAAUAAACAAUCUUUUUGCCA